rnacentral:misc_RNA from 1 species
UGCAAAAUAAUGGUGAACCAAGCUGAUGAUGUUGCAGGAGUAAUAUCAUCCAAGGCCGGGCUCCAAUAUGUGGGACCUGAGCUUGAUGCAAUGAAAGCUGUUGCUGAUGCUCAUGCAAAACGUUCUCUGAAGCUCUUUGAGAUCGCGCUCCGGGAUUUCAAGGCCCAACUGGAGGAAGAUCCAAUUGUUCAUCGGCAUCUCUCUUCGCUGUAUGACACUUUAUUGGAGCAAAACCUUUGCCGGUUAAUCGAGCCUUUCUCCAGGGUGGAGAUUGCUCAUAUAGCUGAUCUGAUUGAACUGCCUAUAGAUCAUGUGGAGAAGAAACUGUCUCAGAUGAU